CGGCAUCACCAUGGUCAGGAAAUUACGACGCCAACUCAACGGUGCUCAUGCCCUGGCCAAAACCGGAAUCAAGGUGACGGUGAUGGUACCCAACGAGAACCUGGCGGCCGCGGCCGCGGACCGGUCGUACGCCCUUCGGUGGUUGCGGCAGCACUCGUUGCUAGCCUCUCAUUAGUAUCUGAACUAACGGCAGCGUUGGCGCAGCUGGGCCUGGCCUACGCCGUGAAGGUGACUUCGCCGGUCGGGUUCUCCACGGUCACGGAUUCGUCCCCACCGUCCGGGGCCAGGUUUCGGGACGACAUCCGGCGGACGAUGGGGAGCGGCUCGAAUAACGGUCAUGUCGAAACGAAAUGGACUGAGACUUGGUGGUCAUCAACUACGUCAUCACCCGAGUGCGGUCCGGCAAGACGGGCACUCCGCGCUGCCCCGACGCCGACAUGGACGUGUACAUCCUCGCCCUCUUUAACGAAGAACCAGAAGGGCGACGGGCCAGACGACGCCGAGCGAUACUUCGGCCUGUUCCACCCGAACAUGACGAACACUAGUACAAUGAGAGCCUGCAGUGACGCAGACCCUCAAAGAGCAGUGGCGGGCAAAGCGACGUCGGCCACUGCAGGCACGGCGCGGAGCACUGUAGCAUCUAGCAGUGGCAGUCGCAGUGACGCAAGCACGGCUACAGGACCUGGAGCAGGCGGCAGGCAUCAGUGGCGGCUGGCGGCCAUAGGCUCCGUUGGUUUCCGCUUAUAAGCGGUUUAUCAGAAACUACUGCAUGUAUAGCUCCACAUCAGUUAUAUUUGUAUAUAUAUAUACUUGCCUCUUGUUUAAAAUUGGUGUUAUUAAUUUGUA